rnacentral:tRNA from 1 species
GCCGAGGUGGUGGAAUUGGUAGACACAAGGGACUUAAAAUCCCUCGGGAGUUAAAUCCCGUGCCGGUUCAAGUCCGGCCCUCGGUACCA